UCGCCAGAAUAAUGUGAAACUGCUACGUUUUGGUUGCUAUGAACAAUAUUUUGAGUUAGUUUCUGCAUAAAAAUAAGGUUUGAUUACAUUUUUAGCGAGAAAUAUAUAUUCUAUUUUCAUAAUAUUCACUCAGUGAAUGUCAACCCGUUCUCACUCCUGACCGUUCUCACGCUGAAGAAGUCUCCUUCAGAACACAUCGCGAUAUUUGGCAUCAGUUCGCGUGUGCUGGAUGUUGCUGAAAAGACAAAAAGGGCCUUUUGGAAAUGGAUGAAGGAGACAGAAAGCUGCAAAGGCAAAUAAUUGCAAUGAUUGGGCCCAAAAUGUUCCAAUGAUACAUGAUGUCUCUCCGCACCUCAUAACUACCUCUGUUUGCAAGAGUGGAAAUUAUCAUUUGACUUGUCACAUGACAUCAGAUAUUCAAUUAUUUUGUCAUGAUCAUUUACACUGCUGAUAAUGUCCUGCUUGCAUGUGAAACAUGUUAUUUAUUUAUUUUUAUUUUUUAUUUUUUUAAAUAUGAAUAUAGCUUGCUAUACUUUUAAUCAUGGAAAUGCCCACACAUCAGUGAACUUAUUACAUAAAUGCAUUUAACAUUUAAUUGUGCAACACU